rnacentral:rRNA from 1 species
GACGAUCCCUAGCUGGUCUGAGAGGAUGACCAGCCACACUGGAACUGAGACACGGUCCAGACUCCUACGGGAGGCAGCAGUGGGGAAUAUUGCACAAUGGGCGCAAGCCUGAUGCAGCCAUGCCGCGUGUAUGAAGAAGGCCUUCGGGUUGUAAAGUACUUUCAGCGGGGAGGAAGGCGAUACGGUUACCGUUUGAUUGUUACCCGAAGAAACCGGCUAAUCCGUGCCAGCAGCGCGGUAAUACGGAGGGUGCAAGCGUUAAUCGGAAUUACUGGGCGUAAAGCGCACGCAGGCGGUCUGUCAAGUCGGAUGUGAAAUGGGCUCAACCUGGGAACUGCAUCCGAAACUGGCAGGCUUGAGUCUUGUAGAGGGGGGUAGAAUUCCAGGUGUAGCGGUGAAAUGCGUAGAGAUCUGGAGGAAUACCGGUGGCGAAGGCGGCCCCCUGGACAAAGACUGACGCUCAGGUGCGAAAGCGUGGGGAGCAAACAGGAUUAGAUACCCUGGUAGUCCACGCCGUAAACGAUGUCGACUUGGAGGUUGUGCCCUUGAGGCGUGGCUUCCGGAGCUAACGCGUUAAGUCGACCGCCUGGGGAGUACGGCCGCAAGGUUAAAACUCAAAUGAAUUGACGGGGGCCCGCACAAGCGGUGGAGCAUGUGGUUUAAUUCGAUGCAACGCGAAGAACCUUACCUGGUCUUGA